rnacentral:rRNA from 1 species
GACGAACGCUGGCGGCGUGCCUAAUACAUGCAAGUAGAACGCUGAAGGAGGAGCUUGCUCUUCUGGAUGAGUUGCGAACGGGUGAGUAACGCGUAGGUAACCUGCCUGGUAGCGGGGGAUAACUAUUGGAAACGAUAGCUAAUACCGCAUAAGAGUAGAUGUUGCAUGACAUUUGCUUAAAAGGUGCAAUUGUAUCACUACCAGAUGGACCUGCGUUGUAUUAGCUAGUUGGUGGGGUAACGGCUCACCAAGGCGACGAUACAUAGCCGACCUGAGAGGGUGAUCGGCCACACUGGGACUGAGACACGGCCCAGACUCCUACGGGAGGCAGCAGUAGGGAAUCUUCGGCAAUGGACGGAAGUCUGACCGAGCAACGCCGCGGGAGUGAAGAAGGUUUUCGGAUCGUAAAGCUCUGUUGUAAGAGAAGAACGAGUGUGAGAGUGGAAAGUUCACACUGUGACGGUAUCUUACCAGAAAGGGACGGCUAACUACGUG